rnacentral:rRNA from 1 species
UACGUAGGCAGCGAGCGUUGUUCGGAAUUACUGGGCGUAAAGAGUGUGUAGGCGGUGCUCUAAGUUCGGUGUGAAAUCUCCCGGCUCAACUGGGAGGGUGCGCCGGAAACUGGAGUGCUCGAGCGUGGGAGAGGAAAGCGGAAUUCCUGGUGUAGCGGUGAAAUGCGUAGAUAUCAGGAGGAACACCUGUGGUGUAGACGGCUUUCUGGACCAUUGCUGACGCUGAGACACGAAAGCGUGGGUAGCAAACAGG